rnacentral:rRNA from 1 species
UACGAAGGGGGGCUAGCGUUGUUCGGAAUUACUGGGCGUAAAGCGUGCGCAGGCGGCUUCUCAAGUCAGGGGUGAAAGCCCAGAGCUCAACUCUGGAAUUGCCUUUGAGACUGAGUGGCUUGAGUACGGGAGAGGUGAGUGGAAUUCCCAGUGUAGAGGUGAAAUUCGUAGAUAUUGGGAAGAACACCGGUGGCGAAGGCGGCUCACUGGCCCGUAACUGACGCUCAUGCACGAAAGCGUGGGGAGCAAACAGG